UACGUAGGGUGCGAGCGUUGUCCGGAAUUAUUGGGCGUAAAGAGCUCGUAGGCGGCUUGUCGCGUCGACUGUGAAAACCCGCGGCUCAACUGCGGGCCUGCAGCCGAUACGGGCAGGCUAGAGUUCGGUAGGGGAGACUGGAAUUCCUGGUGUAGCGGUGAAAUGCGUAGAUACUGGGAGGAACACCAGUGGCGAAGGCGGCUACCUGGACCGGUUCUGACGCUGAGGCGCGAAAGCGUGGGUAGCAAACAGG
rnacentral:rRNA from 1 species